CACCUAUCAGAGUAAAUGCGUCAGUGCAAAGCUCAAGGCUUGCUUAUAGUACAUGACUCUGAUAAAAAAUUAGCUAUACCAACCGGACUGGCUGUCAAGAGCGGUUCUGAACUGGUUGAUGGUUGGUGGAACCUUCAGGCGCUUCUGGAG
ensembl:ncRNA Y24D9A.11 ncRNA